GAGACUCGACCUUGGGAGUCUGCUGGAGCAAGUGACCCCCAGCCUGACCAAAGAAGCUUCCUUGGGUACUGGGUGUGGACCCUCAAAUGAACGAGCCGGUGGCAAGCAAGCAGCACAGGGUGACCUGACCAGAUCCAGGGGGAAAAGGACAUCUUCAGCACCAACAAUAUCUCCCCCACCCGGCCUGGCCCAGCCUGGCCCCCAAACAGCCUUGGAUCAAUCACUGUAGCACAUUUUGCAGGCAGGCAAGCAGACUGUGGGCAGCACCACUACCAGCUAUGGCAGCAGGACCUGGUCACAGAUGGAUGGACCGACUGAGUGGUGGGCAUGUGUGCGGGUGGACAGGCGUUGUUGAUGGUC